GACGAACGCUGGCGGCGUGCCUAAUACAUGCAAGUAGAACGCUGAAGAGAGGAGCUUGCUCUUCUUGGAUGAGUUGCGAACGGGUGAGUAACGCGUAGGUAACCUGCCUUGUAGCGGGGGAUAACUAUUGGAAACGAUAGCUAAUACCGCAUAACAAUGGAUGACACAUGUCAUUUAUUUGAAAGGGGCAAUUGCUCCACUACAAGAUGGACCUGCGUUGUAUUAGCUAGUAGGUGAGGUAAUGGCUCACCUAGGCGACGAUACAUAGCCGACCUGAGAGGGUGAACGGCCACACUGGGAGUGAGACACGGCCCAGACUCCGACGGGAGGCAGCAGUAGGGAAUCUUCGGCGAUAGGGGCAACCCUGACCGAGCAACGCCGCGUGAGUGAAGAAGGUUUUCGGAUCGGAAAGCGCUGUUGUAAGUCAAGAACGGGUGUGAGAGUGGAAAGUUCACACUGUGACGGUAGCUUACCAGAAAGGGACGGCUAACUACGUG
rnacentral:rRNA from 1 species